CUUUCGGUACAGUUCCAUAACACGACGUCUCAUACUCGUUACAAGCCUUCAAAACUUUAGUUGAGGAAAUCUAAGUCAUUCAUCAACAAUUGCCACUUUUAACUCGACAUAAUUUUGUGAAGGUGGAUCUCUGCGAUUGAGAUUUCCGCCAAUGGCAUCCCAGACAUGUUCGAUAGGGUUUAUGUAUGGAGACAUGGAAGGCCAAAAUAUAGUGUAAAUUUGUAUUUUGCCCUUUGGACUCGGUUACAAUCUUUGCCCUGUGUGGUCUAGCGUUGUCGUCCAUGUACAAGGGUCGUGACCAUGUUGACACUAGU
rnacentral:lncRNA from 1 species